UACGGAAUGUGCAAACGUUAUUCGGAAUCACUGGGCUUAAAGAGUCCGUAGGCGGCAUGUUAGGUGAGGUGUGAAAAUCCCCCGGCUCAACCGAGGAAUUGCGCUUCAAACCGGCGUGCUUGAGGAAGAUAGAGGUGGGCGGAACUGAUGGUGGAGCGGUGAAAUGCGUUGAUAUCAUCAGGAACACCGGAGGCGAAAGCGGCCCACUGGGUCUUUUCUGACGCUGAGGACGAAACGCG
rnacentral:rRNA from 1 species